CCUACGGGCGGCAGCAGUGGGGAAUAUUGCACAAUGGGGGAAACCCUGAUGCAGCGACGCCGCGUGAGUGAAGAAGGAUUUCGGUAUCUUAAGCUCUAUCAGCAGGGAAGCAAUAAAGUCCUUCGGACUUUGGACGGUACCUGACUAAGAAGCCGCGGCUAACUACGGGCCAGCAGCCGCGGUAAUACGUAGGGGGCAAGUGUUAUCCGGAUUUACUGGGUGUAAAGGGGGCGUAGACGGCAGCGCAAGACGGGAGUGAAAUCCCAUGGCUUAACCAUGGAACUGCUGUGGAAACUGUGCGGCUGGAGUGCAGGAGAGGUAAGCGGAAUUCCUAGUGUAGCGGUGAAAUGCGUAGAUAUUAGGAGGAACACCAGUGGCGAAGGCGGCUUACUGGACUGUAACUGACGUUGAGGCUCGAAAGCGUGGGGAGCAAACAGGAUUAGAUACCCCAGUAGUC
rnacentral:rRNA from 1 species